rnacentral:lncRNA from 1 species
UCAAAAUGUUUCGAAAGACCAGGCCUUUCUUAAAAAUCCCCCAAACCCUAUGACCCUUCGCCUCCAGUAACUUUUUAUUUUUCGAUCUUAUUCUUUUUCUGGGAUUUUUUUUUCCUUCUGUUCUUUUUGUUUCAGUNUUUUUUUUUUUUUUUCCCUACAGUGUCCUCUUUCUGGGUAUGGGAUAGAAUACUGUACAAAAUUUACGAAUCAUUUAAUAUAAGAUAUAGCAUGGGUUUUAGGGAUUUUUGAAAGAAGUCCAUUGUUCUUAUAAUAUAGGUCUUGGAAGUAAGGAAAGUUAUGAGGAGAUUGAAGAUGUGAAUAUCUUCU